UUAUUCAAGUGUGGGAGGGCGUGGGGCAAUGAUGCGGGCUGCUCCUCCGCCUCUGGGGUUCAGCCUGGGGCUCGGCCAGGCUGGCGGUUGGGAAGGCGAGCAUGGACCCUGGAACCCAUUGUCACACCUACUCCCAACCUUGAUGCCGCGGUGACCUCCCGACAAGCUGGCACCUUCGCCAUGGAGUGGCACACACACCUGCUUCAGGACGAGGAGAAGUUGAAUGGGUGAUGCAGGGAGCCGGAGGCACUGCAGGACCAGAGGCCACCCCUCACCAAGGUGGGCAACACGUCAGUGACAAGGAUGCACUCCAUCCGCCCUUCCGACUUAAUAUGAACAAACAUCUGCUGGCACUUCACUCUCACCCUCCAGACCUCAGGCAGGAUGUCUCUUGCCCCUCACGCCACCCGAGCACCAUUUAGGGGCUGGAAUUUUGGGAGAAGUCCUGUUGACUCAGUGGCACUAUGUUGGUUCCACGGACACAGUGCGAAGCCAGCCCAGAGAUGAAGCGGGAGAAUGCAGCUGAGUGAAGGGAGGGCUUUUUCUUAACUCAGAUGUAUUUCUACCUGACGCAGUUUGAAAAAGAACCUGAAGAGGUGUGUGCCUGCUUUUCUCCCCAUUUGACAGAUGAAGAAGUACAAGUGAAACAAUUCACCAAGAUGAGCAGUGAUUAGAGGCAGAGCUGGAAUAGACCUGGACUUGCUUCUUCUUUGCUAGACAUUGGGGUGCAUGUGCCCUGUGGACCAGAAAGGGGGCAUGGGUGGUAGGAGGUAGAAUUCCAGGGCGGGACAACUGAUACACCUAAAACAUUUUGGAAGGUAAGCAUGGGUGACCCCACUUCUGGAAGAGUUGCGAUUGUGGGGGGAUGUGUUGUUACCCCCGAGGGUGACAGAUGAUUGGGGGCGGGGGGGGGAUAGGUGUUUUGGAGAUGUGGACCUGGAGGAGGGGUGUGAUUGCAGCCUGGUGGCAGAGGCCACCGAUGCUCUCUGGAAUGUAAGUUGGCUGGGGACUAAUUAAUUAGAAAGCUCUGAGAACUGGAAGCCACCCAAGAGGAGAACGUCUCAAGGAAGGAAGAACUUAGAGGCCCAGAGAAAGCAGAGCCAUCUGGACCGGGGUGGGGGUGGAGUCCGGAAGAGGCUGCUCACGCGAGGUUCUCGUACGAAAUUCUCGCGAGACGAAUGCUGUAGUUCAUCUGGGCCCCUGCAAACUACCCCCGGGUUUAUCAUUUCUAGCCUGAGAUUUCCUCCAGCGCAUUGGUACAGCUUUGUACCCGAAGUGGAGGUGCACCUCCUCCCAUGAGUAAUAGCUGCUUUUUGUGCAGUGUUUACGAAAAAGGCCUUUUAAGCUCUCUUGCUUCCAAUUCAUUCUUCCAAGGCCCAAAAGAGGUAGGCAGGCCUCAUUUCCAUGUCCUGUUUACAGAUGAAGAAAUGGAGAUGUACUGAGGAAGAUAACUUGCCUGAGGUCACGCAGCUAGAAAGGGACACAAUAAACAUGGAAUAAAUGAAUAAAUAAGAACUCUUUGAGGCUGGCUUCUAUUCCUUUUCUCUAACCUUUGAGAAAGGGACUUGUGUGCCUAAAACUGGAGUGCCUGGCAUGUGAUGGGGUUUCGAUAAAGGGGUGUCGAAUGGAUGAACGAAUGGAUUCUCAGAAAGAAAUAGGAGGAAAAGGUGCUGAUCAUGUAAAAACCUAGCAUCAGGGUGUCUGUGAAAUGAUGGGCCUGAUACAUCAUUCAGUCACUCUGCAUCCCAACUUAGCCGACAAGAGCAGCACUCUCCCCAUUUCUGCGGGAGGGGAGGAGACUCAAGGAACUAGGUGACUGGUGAGGGACCCCACAGCUGGUGAGCUGUGCAGACAGACCUAGAAUCCAGGGCUGACAUGGGGUGUUUGUGCCAUCAGCUGGGCACCUACCCACACAGACACACAGACACACAGAUGCACACUAAGAUACAUAUCUACACAUACUCACACACACGCAUACCCACAGACACCCCAGACACAGGCCGACAGACACAGGCACACACGCAGAUACACAGACACACAAAGACCUAGAUGCACAGAGAUGCACACACAACACACAGCUAGAAACACGCACACACAGAUAUACACAGACACACACCCACAAGUUGUGGUCUUUGGAGAAGAGUCCCCAAGGCUUUGGCUAGUGUUUCCACAUGAGUAAAUCACAGGGAAGCUUCUUUUUGGGUUUUCCCUGGCUGGUUCCAAUUUAAUCUCUCCAAAGAAUGCAAAGAACCCAGCUUUCUGGAGACGAAGACUCUUCCUUCUCCCACUCCCUUCCAGCUUCUCUGAGAGGAGGAUGGAAAAUCCAACUGGGAAGGGGCCGGAGGAAGGCGAGGGUGAUGAAAUCACGGGGAUCGGGGAGGCGGUUCCCCCUGGAAUCAAUUACUUUGCAUAGUUUUUCCUUCCUUCUAAAAAGGGCAGGUGCCAUUGCUCAAGCUGGCUGGGCUGUGGGGCUCCCUGGUCCAUCAGGAUGACCAGCUCCUUUUUCUGGGGAAUAGCACCACCUCCUAACCUCCACUGGCACCGCAGGAAGAGUUACAUUCUCUGUGGAGGCGGAAAGAACCUUGACUUUGGAGUCAGACCCAGGUUCAAAUCAGGCUCCACCCCUUCCUGACUGCGUAACCUUGGAUGACUCACUCAGAGCCUCACUUUCCUCAUCUGUAAAAGUGGGAGAGGGGCACCUCUCUUGUAGCUUAUGAGGAGGAUUAUCCGCGGUCCUGCCUAUGAAGUGCCCAGGACUGAGCUGGCACAGAACACGUGUUCCGGCAAUGGCGUUCCCUUUCCUCUCUCCCACCAAGCACUCCUUCCUCCCCUUUUUGGUGAGGCUGGUUCCUUGAUAGUCACGUGGCCAUCUCCCCAGCUCCUGGUCCAGGCCCUGGCACAUAGUAGGUGGUCCAUAGACAGUGAUAAAUGAAUCUUUCCAAAGUCUAGAUCUGCUCUUGACUCUCCUUGGUCCCCAAACUCAUCAAAGGAUGUUCAUUUUAUUAUGAAGAGCGGGUUAAGCUCCUUACCUGCUAUUUGAAACUUCUUUUGAUCUGACCCCAGAGUCCCCACCUCCAGUACUGCUCUCAGCCCAUAGACUUGGGCAGCCGGGCCCCGGUCAAGGGCUUGUGCUUUAGAAGGUCUGAUCUGGCUUUCCUCUGGCCCUGCCCACUUGCAUGGGGCAAGGCGUCUGCAAGGCCAAGGGGACAGGUCCACCCCGGAAGCCACACCUCGCCAUCUGGGCUAUGCUUUAGGACCCAGGCUCCCCAGUUCCCUACUCAAAUGGCCUUGAGUUUGCUUCCAGGGCCUGCAUGGGGCUCUUUCCUGGGUCAUCCACCUGGAGUUGGACCACACUUCCAGUGUGUGUGUCCCUAAGUCAAAGGCACAACCAGAGGGGGGGGCCACUUGUUAGACCUGAGGCUGGUGCUUGCCAUAUUCAGGUGAAGCCCCAGCUGUGCCUGAGAGGCCCUUGUAGAGAGAGAGAUGGAAAGUGUGCUGGGGAGAGAAGGGGUGGGAGACGCUUCUGACCCAGACCUUUAUUUGCAUGCUUGCCUUGGGCCCAGGAAAUGUUAGGGGUGGGUCUAGUGCCCCCACCCUCUGCAGGAAAGAGGGUGCUCAGUUAUAGACUGGAAGGUGUGAGUGUGGGUUUGGGGACCUCUGCACGGGGGACGUUCAUGUUCUCUGGACCUGGAGCUGUCCUGUUGUUGGUACCACCUCUGGGCAGGGAUGGGCUAUACUGUGCCUGGGAGGGAGUGUUCAGACUGAGGGGACCAGGUAGCCAUGAGUGAUGCCAGAAGGUUCCCAGAAGGUGCUCCCUGGCUCUGGGAUGGGACUAUAAUGCCACUCAUGUCUCUGGUCCCGUUUUUGGCUCUGCCCAGCAGCUGGUGGAGUCGGGCCACUGCGGAAAGGGGACAGCGAGUGCAGGGACAGUGGGAGCCCCAAACCUCACCCAGGGCCAGGGGCUGCUGAGUGGUUAUUGGGUGGGUACCAGGAGCAGCACUGCUAAGAGGAUGGCCAGGUUGCAGCUGCCAGUAACAGGGCUUUAUUUCCCAAGUUAGUGAGGACCUGGCAUUCGGGAGGCCCAGACCCAGUCCUCAAGUAGCUUCAAAGCAAGGGCAGGGCUUGGCCAAGGGAAAGAGUGGCAGAGCUAGCACUGAAGCCCAGGAUGCCUCUUUCCCUUGCUCGGUCACUUUAUCGAGGCAUAAUUUAGACACAAGAACCUGUGCCAAUUUCAAAUGUACGAUUUGAUGAAUUGUGACACAUGUCUACAGCUGUGCUACCAUGACCACAGUCGUGGUAUGGAACAUUUUCAUCACUCCUGGGCCCCUUUGCUGUUGUCCCCUCCCCCACCUCCUGGGCCCAGGGAAACUUUGACUAUAGUUUUGCCCUUUGUAGAAUUUCACAUAGAUGAAGUGUAAGGUGCCUGUCUUCUGUGUCCGGCUUCUUCCAUUUGGCACAAUUAUUUGAAGACUCACCCAUAUUGUUGCAGUGUCAGUGGUUUAUCCCUUUCAUGGCUGAAUAGUAUUCCAUUGUACGGCAGUAUCACAUUUUGCCCAUUCACAAGUUGACAGACAUUUGAGUUGUUUCCAGGUUUUGGCUGUUACAAAUAAAGCUGCUGUGGACACAGAGGACUUUGCAUGGAUAUCUACUUUCAUUUCUCUUCAGUGAAAUUGUUGGAGCAGGUGGUAAGUGGGUGUCAAGUGCUGUGCAAAGUGGCCCUACUAUUUUGCAUUUUCACCAGCUGCAUGGGAGCAUCCAGUUCCUCCUCAUCCUUGUCAACACUCCAACCCAAGACUCCUGCCCAUGAAGGCCAGGCAGUGGUGAGACUGUGACACGAAGGGGAAGAUGGGUCUUGGUUGGGCUGCUCAUCUCUGGGAGGAUCUUAGGUUGUCAGAGUAACAAGAACCUUCAGGGAUAUGAAGCUCUGUGUUGUCAUUUUACAGAUGGGAAAACAGAGAUCCAGAAGGGGAAGGGACCUGUACUUCUCCAAGUGCUGGUAGAGCUGGGAGGAGGCGGUGAUGCAGGUUUAAAGGCAGGAAUUUUGGAGUUGGGCUGGCCCUAGACUCUACUCUUGGCUUAACCAAUUGCUAACCUUUCUGAGUCGCUACUCUUCCUUCUGUAAAAUGGGGACAAAAACAACCUCAUAGGAUGAAUGGGGAGGACUACAUGCCUGGAGUGUGAGAAGUUCAAGAAACGUUUAUUACUUUUUUUUUUUUCCUUUGUCCACGAUUGUGACAUGCGGAAAUUAGGGAUAGAACUCAUGCUCCAUCAAGAAACAUUUAUUGAGCACUUACUAAAUGCCAGGCACUGUUCUUGGUGCAGGAGACAUAGCAGAGAAUCAGACAGACACAGUCCCUGUGCUCUGGGAGCUAACAGAGAGUGGGGAGAGACAAAUCAUAAAUAAGGAAACCAAUAAAAUCAAUAAUCAUAAAUUGUGACAGGUGCUGUUAGAAGGCGACAAACUGAGAUCCGUUUCAGGCAGAGUCUUUCUGAAGAGAUGCUCUUAAAGUGGCAUCUGAAUGAUGGGGAGGAGCUGACCGUGUGGGGACAGGGAGGUGGUGGCGUUCCAGGGUAUGGGAACAGCAUAGGCAAAGGUGCAGAGGUUGGAAAGGGCAGAUUGUAUUUCGGGCACAGGAAGGGCAGUGCGACCCUGGUACAGAGGUUCAGUAGAGAGUAUCUAUGGGGAUGCCAGAGAGCUGACCCGGAGCUUGGUGGGGCUGGGCCUUGCUGGAGUUUGGAUUUUGUAUGAAGGGCAGAUUUAUUUUAGACACUGUGUUGGCUGUUAUUAUUCUUCCUCUUUUUGUCCAUCACUCAGGGGUCUUCAUUCCCAGCUCAAGCCUCUUUCCAAAACCCCGAUGUGGGCAGGUGCAAGGCUGGGGUCUGCAGCCAGCUGGGCCUGGGCCCCCACCCCGACCUCUCCGGCAGGCCUGGCAAGCGGAGGAGUACCAGCUGGCGGGGCAGCGGGUGGGGGAGACCACCUGCUGUUCCCUAUUGUCCAUCAACCCAUUGUCUGGUCCAUGCCCUCUGCUCUGAGGACAGCGGGGGACAAUGGAGGAAUGUGAUCCCCAGGCUCCUGUUUCCUGGCCUGGUCCCUCGCCCCCAUGAUGACACCAGGAGAAUGCCCCCGUGGGGCGGAGGCAGGGGCUCUGCCAAGUGGGAGGUGGUGCUGCCCGCAUCCUCAUCAUCUCCCUGGCAACCGCAGCUGCCAAAUUGUUGGUUGGAGGGUUUUUUUUAGCGUCCCGGGUGGGGGUUCUCUUCUUGCCUCCCCCUGGAGGGGGGUGUGCUCUUGGGAAAGGAUCUGCUUCUUGCCUCCCGAGGGCCGCAGCUCCCGGCCUGUGCGUAUGGGCUCCUCAGGCCACCUGGGAGCCUGGUGCAGGAACAUGCCAGAGACUGCACACCCUCAAGUUGCCAGCAAGAUGGAGGCACCGCAAUAAACUCAAAUUAUAUGUGAGAAAAAGUGUCACUGUUGUCAUCACCCAAAGAAUCAGGAUGUUGUUCAACUUCUUUGUGUUUGUUUUAUGGUUUAGCAUUGU